UGGGGAAUCUUGCGCAAUGCGCGAAAGCGUGACGCAGCAACGCCGCGUGGGGGAAGAAGGCCUUCGGGUUGUAAACCUCUUUCAGUUGGGACGAAGUGUGAGCGGUGAAUAGCCGUUUCACAUGACGGUACCUUCACAAGAGGCCCCGGCUAACUACGUGCCAGCAGCCGUGGUAAUACGUAGGGGGCAAGCGUUGUCCGGAAUCAUUGGGCGUAAAGAGCGCGUAGGCGGCCCUGUAAGUCCGCUGUGAAAGUCAAGGGCUCAACCCUUGAAUGCCGGUGGAUACUGCAGGGCUAGAGUCCGGAAGAGGCGAGUGGAAUUCCUGGUGUAGCGGUGAAAUGCGCAGAUAUCAGGAGGAACACCGAUGGCGAAGGCAGCUCGCUGGGACGGUACUGACGCUGAGGCGCGAAAGCGUGGGGAGCAAAC
rnacentral:rRNA from 1 species